AACGAACGCUGGCGGCAUGCCUAACACAUGCAAGUCGAACGAGACCUUCGGGUCUAGUGGCGCACGGGUGCGUAACGCGUGGGAACCUGCCCUUAGGUUCGGAAUAACUCCCCGAAAGGGGUGCUAAUACCGGAUAAUGUCUUCGGACCAAAGAUUUAUCGCCUUUGGAUGGGCCCGCGUUGGAUUAGCUAGUUGGUAGGGUAAAAGCCUACCAAGGCGACGAUCCAUAGCUGGUCUGAGAGGAUGAUCAGCCACACUGGGACUGAGACACGGCCCAGACUACUACGGGAGGCAGCAGUGGGGAAUAUUGGAAAAUGGGCGAAAGCAUGAUCAAGCAAUGCCGCGUGAGUGAUGAAGGCGUUAGGGUUGUAAAGCUCUUUUACCCGGGAUGAUAAUGACAGUACCGGGAGAAUAAGCACCGGCUAACUCCGUG
rnacentral:rRNA from 1 species